rnacentral:rRNA from 1 species
CCCAGACUCCUACGGGAGGCAGCAGUGGGGAAUAUUGGGCAAUGGGCGCAAGCCUGACCCAGCAACGCCGCGUGAAGGAAGAAGGCUUUCGGGUUGUAAACUUCUUUUAAGAGGGACGAAGGAAGUGACGGUACCUCUUGAAUAAGCCACGGCUAACUACGUGCCAGCAGCCGCGGUAAUACGUAGGUGGCAAGCGUUAUCCGGAUUUAUUGGGUGUAAAGGGCGUGUAGGCGGGAGCGCAAGUCAGAUGUGAAAACUCAGGGCUCAACCCUGAGCCUGCAUUUGAAACUGUGUUUCUUGAGUGCUGGAGAGGCAAUCGGAAUUCCGUGUGUAGCGGUGAAAUGCGUAGAUAUACGGAGGAACACCAGUGGCGAAGGCGGAUUGCUGGACAGUAACUGACGCUGAGGCGCGAAAGCGUGGGGAGCAAACAGGAUUAGAUACCCGGGUAC